GAAGCGCCUUGAUCUUUGCAACGGAUCCCUCAAAGUGUGUCUUGUUUUUGUAAACCCAUUUACAUUUCACUGGUUUGCAAUCUGAAGAGAGAGAGAGAUAAGGUGCCCAGUACCGUUAUUGAGAAGUGAAUCAUACUCUGCUUCCCUUACAAGUUUUCAUUUAGCAGCUUUUGGGCUUGUAAGGGCUUCCUUGUACGUACUGGGAUCAUUGGGGAUGUACUUGCUUGAUGCAAGGCUGGCGAAGAAGCGAGGGACGAUGUAGUCCCAUAGAUACGAUGGUGCGCUGCAAAUGCGGGAAGGAUGCGAUUCCAAUGAGAGUGGCGGUGGAGCAAUGUGUGAUAUUCAUGAGUGUGGGCUGAUCAAUGCUCAUGCUUGGAGGGGUUGUGGCUAGAUCCUCCUGGAAUGAGAAAAGGCCCAAGAACGUUGCAGGGUAGCUUGUCUAUGAAUUGACAGCUUGUCAAAAAUAACAUUGCGGCUUACAAUCAUCUUGUGCCACUGUGCAUCCCAAAGACGGUAUGCCUUUGUGUUAAUGCAGUAGUCAACAAAAACUGCUUUAACACUUUGGGGA